rnacentral:rRNA from 1 species
CCUACGGGAGGCAGCAGUGAGGAAUAUUGGUCAAUGGACGCAAGUCUGAACCAGCCAUGCCGCGUGCAGGAAGACGGCCCUAUGAGUUGUAAACUGCUUUUGUACGAGGGUAAACUCAGAUACGCGUACCUUUCUGCAAGUAUCUUACGAAUAAGGAUCGGCUAACUCCGUGCCAGCAGCCGCGGUAAUACGGAGGAUUCAAGCGUUAUCCGGAUUUAUUGGGUUUAAAGGGUGCGUAGGCGGGCGGAUAAGUUAGAGGUGAAAGUCUGAGGCUCAACCUGGGAAUUGCCGUUGAUACUGGCAGGCUAGAGAGCAGUUGAGGUAGGCGGAAUGCAUGGUGUAGCGGUGAAAUGCUUAGAGAUCAUACAGAACACCGAUUGCGAAGGCAGCUUACCAAGCUAUGACUGACGUUGAGGCACGAAAGCGUGGGUAGCAAACAGGAUUAGAUACCCGAGUAGUC